AUCUCAAAUCAGGUAGGACUACCCGCUGAACUUAAGCAUAUCAAAAC
rnacentral:rRNA from 1 species